rnacentral:rRNA from 1 species
GGUGAGUGGCAGACGGGUGAGUAACACGUGGGAACGUACCCUUCGGUUCGGAAUAACUCAGGGAAACUUGAGCUAAUACCGGAUACGCCCUUUUGGGGAAAGGUUUACUGCCGAAGGAUCGGCCCGCGUCUGAUUAGCUAGUUGGUGGGGUAACGGCCUACCAAGUCUACGAUCUAUAGCUGGUUUUAGAGGAUGAUCAGCAACACUGGGACUGAG